rnacentral:rRNA from 1 species
UACGGAGGGUGCAAGCGUUAUCCGGAUUCACUGGGUUUAAAGGGUGCGUAGGAGGGCAGGUAAGUCAGUGGUGAAAUCUUUGGGCUUAACCCGAAAACUGCCAUUGAUACUAUCUGUCUUGAAUGCGGUGGAGGUGAGCGGAAUAUGUCAUGUAGCGGUGAAAUGCUUAGAUAUGACAUAGAACACCAAUUGCGAAGGCAGCUCACUACACGAAUAUUGACACUGAGGCACGAAAGCGUGGGGAUCAAACAGG